AGCUUACUUCUGUUGAUUUGAAAUGGAAGGGUUCUCCAAUGGAUUUUGUACAAUUGCUUGAUAGUGACUUAUCCUCUAAAAUUAUGUCGAAUUUGGAUGAUCCAGCUGAUGUUGUUCGUGUUGCUUCUGUUUCGCAUAAUUGUUGUUCGUGAUGUUGAAACAUCAAGCAAUAUUACAGCCAUUGAAGAAAACAAUAUAAUAGAGCCUUUGGAGGUCGAGACAGCCGGUAGUGUGGAAGUGGAGAAGCUGAAGAAGAACCAUCAAAUUUAUGCUUUGCUAGCACGAGGUCUGGCUCCUUCUUUGACAAAAGAAUGCAUUUUCGAGGCUAUAAGUGCGUCUAGCACUGAUCAUUCUCCAGAAGAAAUGAUUCACCUCACUUUGGAACCUAGUGAUAGAGUGUACGGGAGGCCUUCUUACUGGUCAAGUAUGGGAGAGAGUAACCCGGAGGUGCCUCAGACAUUAACUUACAAAUUGGUAACCGAGUUGUGUUUCAUUACUGAGAUCAACAUCCAACUGUUCCAAGUGUUUUUUCGAUGAUGAUUGUCCUGUAUGGGCAUACACUUCAGAAAAGUUUCCGAUGGUUCAGGAAAACUUGCUUGCGAAAGUUCAAGCUACCAGAACCUGUUCUUGCCAUUGGUGUAGUUCUGUAGACUGAACUGUUGGGACGGGUGGUGCUUGCAAUUGAUGACCUAUUCUACUUUUGAUUCUGCUUCUUCUGCUGUUCGUGGCUUAACAGUGGCUGGUGAUAUUUCUCUUCACUGGGAUACUUCAUCUUCUUAUCAAGGGUGUGGCUCUCUACAAAGCUGUUGUUUUGGAUGGAGGCUUCUCAGGAUUUUCCACAGUUGCUCAACCGUGACUUAUCGUUGAAAAUUUUCUCAUACUUGUAUGAACCAGCUGAUGUUGUUCGUGCUAGUUCUGUUUCGCAUUCUUGGCGCAAAUUUGGCUUCAAUAUGAUGUUCUGCAGUGAUCACAAAUGGAGUCUCUAAGAGUCUUUGCUUUAGAUGCUGUCCAGAAACAUCAUGUGCUAUAAAAGCCAUUGAACAUGACAAUAUAAUAGAGCUUUUGGAAGUCGAGACCAACGGUAGUGUGGAAAUGGAGAAGUUGAAGAGAAACCAUCGAGUUUAUGCCUUCCUAGCACGAGGUCUACAUUACUAUGUGACAAGGGAUUGCAUUUCGGAGGCUAUAUGUGUGUCUAGUAAAAAUAAUUAUCUGAAAGAAAAUAUUCACAAUACUUCAGUACUUAAUGGGGGUGCUUCUUACUGGUCAAGUAGAGGAGAGAUUAAUCCUGAUGUGCCUGAGACAUUGACCUAUAAAUUGGUACCGGACUUGCGUUUUAUUACUAAGAUCAGAAUCCAUCUAAUCCAAGCUUUGGCCCAGGCUGUGUGAUUUCGAAUGGGCCAUUUCAGGGAACCAGAAUGAGAGGCUGAUUUUGCAGGUGACUAUAAGCCAUAUCCUACAUCCUUUGAGGAUCACGUUGUAUGGACAUACACCUCAGAAAAGUUUACAUUGGUUCAGGUAUGGUCAGUUCCAUUAUCCAUGAAAUGCAUCAGCCUCUUCCUUUUACCCAUUAUGGAAACAGAUUGAUGGUAUAAUUGAGAGCAGAUUGUAUCUGGAUUCCCCAAGAUUUAACAACUUUGACGGAUUUUACCAUUGGAAGGAAAAUUGCUUACGAACGUCCAGUUUACCAGAACCUGUCUUUGCCAUUGGUGGAUAUUUGCAGGUUGAAUUUUUGGGUCGGCUUCCUGGCUUCUUGCGUGUGUUCGAAGUCUUGGGACGCGCACUCACAGGUGAUUUCAUUCUUGAGCCGAUGGACGAUUUUGGGAAAUACUCUGCUGAAAUAUAAACCAGUUAAAGCUACUGGUGGCAAAUAUUAUGAAUGGGGAGAGUUUGGGGGUGCUGUCAGUGAUAAACCUGUGAUUUAUUGUGUGUGCUUAUGAUGACAGAGACUCUUCUUACCUUACACCUUGUCUCUGUUAGUAAAUUAGUAUGCUGUAUUAUUUGUAACCUAACUGUUAUCGUAAUAUCAUAUUAUGCUUCAA